rnacentral:rRNA from 1 species
GACGAACGCUGGCGGCGUGCUUAACACAUGCAAGUCGAACGGUAAGGCCCCUUCGGGGGUACACGAGUGGCGAACGGGUGAGUAACACGUGGGUGAUCUGCCCUGCACUUCGGGAUAAGCCUGGGAAACUGGGUCUAAUACCGGAUAGGACCACGCUCUGCAUGGAGUGUGGUGGAAAGCUUUUGCGGGGUGGGAUGGGCCCGCGGCCUAUCAGCUUGUUGGUGGGGUGAUGGCCUACCAAGGCGACGACGGGUAGCCGGCCUGAGAGGGUGGCCGGCCACACUGGGACUGAGAUACGGCCCAGACUCCUACGGGAGGCAGCAGUGGGGAAUAUUGCACAAUGGGCGCAAGCCUGAUGCAGCGACGCCGCGUGGGGGAUGACGGCCUUCGGGUUGUAAACCUCUUUCAGUACCGACGAAGCGCAAGUGACGGUAGGUACAGAAGAAGCACCGGCCAACUACGUG